AUGAUAUUUCUUUUUCUACAUGUUAUCAUCUAUUUUGCAGAAUGGUCUUCCAAAAGCACGCCCAACAAAGGUGGCCGCGGACGAUACAAUGCUCUUCCCGUACCAGGAGCAGUUGAGGCGGCGGACGACGCGCCCAACGGAGGUGGCCGCGGACCAAGGAGCGCUCUUCUCGUACAAGGUGCCGUCGAGGUGGUGGACAACGCGCCCAAUGGAGGUGGCCACACGGACCAUGCAGCGCUCUUCUCGUACUCGAUGCCAUGGAGGCGGCGGACGACACGCUCAACAGAGGUGACUGCAAAUGAUGCGACGCUCUUCUCGUAG
rnacentral:rRNA from 1 species